rnacentral:rRNA from 1 species
AUUGAACGCUGGCGGCAUGCCUAACACAUGCAAGUCGAACGGUAACAGGCCCUUCGGGCGCUGACGAGUGGCGGACGGGUGAGUAAUGCUUAGGAAUCUGCCUAGUAGUGGGGGAUAACCCGGGGAAACUCGGGCUAAUACCGCAUACGUCCUACGGGGAGAAAGCGGGGACCUUCGGGCCUCGCGCUAUUAGAUGAGCCUAAGUCCGAUUAGCUAGUUGGUAGGGUAACGGCCUACCAAGGCGACGAUCGGUAGCUGGUCUGAGAGGACGACCAGCCACACUGGGACUGAGACACGGCCCAGACUCCUACGGGAGGCAGCAGUGGGGAAUAUUGGACAAUGGCGCAAGCCUGAUCCAGCGAUGCCGCGUGU